CUUCCCUCGGAACAAGCAUCUGAAAUAAAUAAUUAACAUAAAAAGUACCUCCCUUUUUCCAGGUAAAAGAGACCCAACCAGCCCAGGGACCUCAGUUCUCUUUCUUGUUCCAACAGAAACGGAUGGCAUGUGGAUGGUGAGGCACAUGGGUUGCUGACAGGGGAAUCCGGUCUGAUAGCCUCCCGGGUGGAGAGCUGAAUGGC